GGGGAAUAUUGCACAAUGGGGGAAACCCUGAUGCAGCAACGCCGCGUGAGUGAGGAAGUAUUUCGGUAUGUAAAGCGCUAACAGCAGUGAAUUGACGGUACAUGCAAAGGAAGCACCGGCUAACUCCGUGCCAGCAGCCGCGGUACUACGGAGGGUGCGAGCGGUAAUCGGAAUUACUGGGCGUAAAGCGCUCGUAGGCGGUAUGUCAAGUCAAGGGUGAAAUCCCCGCGCUCAACGUGGGAACUGCCUUUGAAACUGGCAAACUGGAGUGUGUGAGAGGAUAGUGGAAUUCCAGGUGUAGGAGUGAAAUCCGUAGAUAUCUGGAGGAACAUCAGUGGCGAAGGCGACUAUCUGGCACAUAACUGACGCUGAGGAGCGAAAGCGUGGGUAGCAAACAGG
rnacentral:rRNA from 1 species